GCACUGAUGGUGUAGGGGUUAAGCGUGCAACAAUAUACAGAGGCUACAGCCCUCGAAGCGGCUGUCCUGGGUUCGAGUCCCAGACCUAGUGACA